AAUUCUUGGAUCGAUUGAAGACUAACUACUGCGAAAGCAUUUGCCAAGGAUGUUUUCAUUUAUCAGGAACGAAAGUUAGGGGAUCGAAGACGAUCAGAUACCGUCGUAGUCUUAACCAUAAACUAUGCCGACUAGGGAUCGGACGGUGUUAUUUCUUGACCCGUUCGGCACCUUACGAGAAAUCAAAGUGCUUGGGCUCCAGGGGGAGUAUGGUCGCAAGGCUGAAACUUAAAGAAAUUGACGGAAGGGCACCACCAGGGGU
rnacentral:rRNA from 1 species